rnacentral:rRNA from 1 species
GGCGAUUUCCGAAUGGGGAAACCCAGUGUGUUUCGACACACUAUCAUUAACUGAAUCCAUAGGUUAAUGAGGCGAACCGGGGGAACUGAAACAUCUAAGUACCCCGAGGAAAAGAAAUCAACCGAGAUUCCCCCAGUAGCGGCGAGCGAACGGGGAGGAGCCCAGAGCCUGAAUCAGUGUGUGUGUUAGUGGAAGCGUCUGGAAAGGCGCGCGAUACAGGGUGACAGCCCCGUACACAAAAAUGCACAUAUUGUGAGCUCGAUGAGUAGGGCGGGACACGUGGUAUCCUGUCUGAAUAUGGGGGGACCAUCCUCCAAGGCUAAAUACUCCUGACUGACCGAUAGUGAACCAGUACCGUGAGGGAAAGGCGAAAAGAACCCCGGCGAGGGGAGUGAAAAAGAACCUGAAACCGUGUACGUACAAGCAGUGGGAGCCUCUUAAUGGGGUGACUGCGUACCUUUUGUAUAAUGGGUCAGCGACUUAUAUUCUGUAGCAAGGUUAACCGAAUAGGGGAGCCGAAGGGAAACCGAGUCUUAACUGGGCGUUAAGUUGCAGGGUAUAGACCCGAAACCCGGUGAUCUAGCCAUGGGCAGGUUGAAGGUUGGGUAACACUAACUGGAGGACCGAACCGACUAAUGUUGAAAAAUUAGCGGAUGACUUGUGGCUGGGGGUGAAAGGCCAAUCAAACCGGGAGAUAGCUGGUUCUCCCCGAAAGCUAUUUAGGUAGCGCCUCGUGAAUUCAUCUCCGGGGGUAGAGCACUGUUUCGGCAAGGGGGUCAUCCCGACUUACCAACCCGAUGCAAACUGCGAAUACCGGAGAAUGUUAUCACGGGAGACACACGGCGGGUGCUAACGUCCGUCGUGAAGAGGGAAACAACCCAGACCGCCAGCUAAGGUCCCAAAGUCAUGGUUAAGUGGGAAACGAUGUGGGAAGGCCCAGACAGCCAGGAUGUUGGCUUAGAAGCAGCCAUCAUUUAAAGAAAGCGUAAUAGCUCACUGGUCGAGUCGGCCUGCGC